AUUUUUAGCCGGGGACCCAAGCUACAAAGCAAUCGUAAAAAAAAUAUUCUUCCGCGAACCAUAGACGAUCUCUUGAAAAAUACAGUCAGCCUUUAACCGUCGGAUAGAUCAGUUCGAUCGUGUUAAUAAAAAUCGUAUUUGAAUUUCUUUUUUGAGUAGCUUCUAUUAAUAACAUAAUUCACCAUGGCUGAUGAUGAGAAAAAGAAAACCCCAGCUGGUACACCGGGCACAAAGACUCCAGCUGCUGCUGGAGCGAAGACUCCAGCUGCUGCUGGAGCAAAAACGCCAGCCGCAGCCGGUUCUAAAACUCCAGCUGGAGCAAAAACUCCAGCUGGAGCGAAGACACCUACUGGUGCUAAGACGCCAUCGGGUACAAAAACUCCUGUACCGGCUGAACCGCCGAAAGAUGAAGCAACUAUUAAAGCUGAGGAGGCUAAGAAGGCUAAGCAAGCCGAAAUUGAGCGCAAGCGUGCUGAAGUACGCAAGCGUAUGGAGGAAGCCUCAAAAGCCAAAAAGGCAAAGAAAGGUUUCAUGACCCCAGAAAGAAAGAAGAAACUCCGAUUGUUGCUUCGUAAGAAAGCCGCUGAAGAAUUGAAGAAAGAACAGGAACGCAAGGCCGCCGAACGUAGACGCAUCAUUGAAGAACGAUGUGGCAGACCAAAGGACAUUGCCAGCGCCAGCGAAGACGAGCUGAAGGAAUACUGUCAAGAAUAUUUCGACCGAAUGUAUUUAUGUGAGGGCCAAAAAUGGGAUCUGGAAUACGAAGUCCGGAAAAGAGAGUGGGAGAUCUCCGACCUCAAUGCCCAAGUCAAUGAUCUUCGUGGUAAAUUCGUCAAACCAACAUUGAAGAAGGUGUCCAAAUACGAAAACAAAUUCGCUAAACUCCAAAAGAAGGCAGCUGAAUUUAACUUCCGUAACCAACUCAAAGUUGUCAAGAAGAAGGAAUUCACCCUGGAAGAAGAAGAAAAGGAGAAACCAAAAAUCGUAAUGGAAACUAAAGAGAUGAAAGAGGCUGCAGCAGCGGCAGCAGAAGAAGCUAAGAAGCAAGCGGAAGAAGAUGAAAAGAAAAAAGAAGAAAAGAAAAAAGCGCAUUCUUCGUCACACGGCAAGAAAGAGAAGACACCGACAAAAGAAAAAACGCCAACAAAGGAGAAAACACCAACAAAAUCGAAGAAGUAAGAAACCCGACUGGUCAAAAGGCAAACCUGGCGAUGCAAAGGAAUGUGAAUGCUGUUGUGGAUAUGAAGGGCUCUAUGCGUAAAAAUAACCAUCAACCGUAACCAAUCAUUAAUUGCUGAUUUAAUUUAUAAUUUAAGAAUUCAGGUCCAUUGUCGCAAAAUCCUUUUAUUAAUUUUUAUUGAUUGAUUUGGAUUUUAUUUUCUAAAAUUCAAUUUAAUUGUCACAAUUGUACUGAGAUCAUGUUUUUCGGUUAUUAAAAUAAAUUUAUAUUUAUAUUAAUUAAUGAAGAAAA